AUAGUCGUAUGGGAAAUUUUGCCCGGUACCCCUAUUUGAAAGCCUUUCAUGAAAUAUACCCCUUUCCUUUCAAGGUUUUUUGUUUUACCCUUUUAUUUUUUAAUAUUCCUAAACUAUCCUUUUCAAAUAUCAAAAGGAAAAAUACACAUGAAAUGCCCAACGAAAAGAGGAAAAGGAACAUGAGAGACUGGCAAAGCAGCCACUGGAGAGUUCUUCAGGAGGAGAGAUGAGUGGAGGAAGCAUCCUAGGUUCAGCAAUUAGCCCAGCCAUGCCCUUCUCCGUUUUGGCCUCAGAGUCCCGUCAUCGACUUUUACCUGAUCGGCAAGCAGAUCUACAGCAAACUCCUUGGUCCUUCCUCUUCCUCCUCUUCUGGGUCUGCUUUUAAUGGUGUAGUCUUUCCUGGAUUUUUCAAGAAAUCUUCAAAAUGGAAAAAUACAAUUAGAAUCCUAUCGUCGGAACCCUAGCUUGGUUUUUGUCAUAGGGACUUGCCAAAUGGAAGUUUAUUUUGGAAGCAGCAGGAGGAAUCAUCCAUAUUUAGAUUCAAUUCUGCUAUACUUUUAAUCUUUUUCUCUUAAUUUAUUGUUUUUCUUGCUUUAAGUAGGGAGAGAGGAAAAAAAAAAAAAAAGCGAAAAUUUGUUUUAAAAAUGCAAAACUUUAGCAAUUAAGUUUUGUCAAGUUUUCUGAAUUCUUGACUAUAUAUGUUUUUAUGAUAAAUUUUUAGGUGAAGUAUUCAAGAGGGCCUAAUGCUACCAAUUCCUGUAAAGCGAAGGGAUCAGACCUCUGAGAUCAUUUUAAGGAUUGCUACAUUGACAUCUGCUCCCCAGAGGUUCUAAUCAUUUUUACUGACAACUUUGAUUACCAACAUCUAUGGUGCCAUUUUGUCAAGGGAUUGCUUGUUGAUGAUUGUCUUUAUGAGCCUUUUGAGGAAGAAGCUGGAUAUUUUCAGUUUGCUACAGCAAUAACAUCGAAUGAUAUUGAUGAAAUACAGAAGUUUCUUAAUGCUGCUGUUGAUGCAAGAGAGGCUUUUGGUGUAGCAAGAGUUGUAGCUGCAAUGAUUGGUUUAUCUAUAAUCCUUUUGUUAGGAGUCCUUGAUUGGGAUGAUUGCUUAAGUGAGAUAUUAGCAUGAGAUACCUUGGCUUGGUUUGUUGUUCUAGAGUGGGCAUGGCCAGGCGACUGACAAAUCUUGGUAUUGUAACCUGGAUGUCUAGCUGUGCUGCCAAGUUACUUCAGUCCUUCUCUCUGAGCUGGCUAGCUGCAUUUGUUGUUGUUCAGGCAGCUUAUUUCUUUAUCCACUACCUGUUUACAAGUCAUUUUUGAUCUCGAGAUUAGAUCACAGACAAUUUGUAAUUUUUUCUAUUUGCAUACUACAUCUAUCUUGUAUGAUAUAAAACUAUAUUCAAAAUUUGUUAAUGUUUCCAAGGUAUUUUUGUCAUGCUUCUCUUAAUUUGGAAUCAAUGAAUAUGUCAUCAUUAAAUAUUUUUU